GCUGGGCAGGGGGAGACGGAGAGGGGCGGCGGGCGCGACGGAGCAGCGAGGGGGGCGGCGGUGGCGGUGUGACAGCCCGCCCGGUGACGCCGCCGGGGUUGGGCACAGAGGCUCUUGCUGCCCGGUCUGUGACAGCUACAGGCAGUCAGUGCCUAGGCGGAGUGAAGCACACGGCGUUGCUUCAGGAUCCCGUGGCUGAAAACGCUCGUCGGGUUGUCUCACCAUUUCCCUUCACUCUGGCACAAAUGAGGGGCUGCUGCUGCGUCGCUGGGUCUGGGCACGGCCUCUGACAUCUCGGGCAUCCCUCAGGCUUACUCAUCUCGAGGUCUCAGUUGCAGGUACCGAUUUCUCCAAAUGUAGCUCAGUGUACGGAGCCUUCCUACCUCAGGAGCCGGAAUUCUACACCUGUCUGACGAAGACCUUCUUUACAAUGAUUACUGGUAUAUCGCAUGCUAUAUCUCGAAAGUUUCGUGUUGUCAGUUUUCAUUCCUCAGCCUUAGUUUGAGUACUUAGUCCGAGUACUCGGGACAGAAACUAUCUAUCUAAAACUCCUGUCUACCAGUUCUUCUGGUAGGUGGCUGGUUUCGGCUACAGGAAAUACAGCGCCUAGCCCUGAUGUCGUGAUUUUCAUUCACAGAACCGGGGGGUUUCAAAAAUCCAGAUUACCCUCAGUAUCGAUACAAACCAAAAAUCAGUCAUUGCACAAUAGGAGACGUUGGCCCAUAUAUUCAAUUUUAAAUCUUUAGGUAACUUUUUGUCUUUGAGAAAGAUGAGAAGCCGUACAAAGUUUUGGAAGUGUGUUUGAAAUGUAAUCUCCUAGCCUUUAAAAAAACCCCACUCCAUACUUUCUAAAAAAACAAUACAAUUAACAACAUACUUUUUCAGUAUCAGAUUACAUCGCUCAGCAGAACUGACUUCAUGUCUUCUGUUAGAAAUACAUAUCAAGAAAAAGCAUGGUGUGUAGUUGCUCCAGGAUAAAACAACCAUUUAAUUUUAUGGAUCUCUGAUGAUUAUUUUUCUUUAUUAACACAUAGAAUUAGACAAACAUAAAUAAUAGACAUCAUGAAGUCACAUCAAUGAGGGAUUCAUUCCUAAUGGAUACUUUUCGCAAGCAUGCGUCGAGCAGUAGAAAGAGCAACACAAAACAACAUGAAAGAAGAAACACAUUUAGUAAAGGUGAAUUAUUCUUUCAACUUAUCUCAGUAAAAAUCAAAUAUCAACUCUUUUAUGUUGCUUUACAUCCUUUUCUCAGAACUACACCAUUAAUGAAAGCCCUUUCAACAUUAAAUUGUUGCCUACAGUGUAUUUACACAAUCUGUAUAUAAAUAAACCAUACUUUCUCAGGUUUUCUAAUAUAAGAAAAUCAAUUGAUGCAUAUUCAAGCUACUGCAAUAAAUACUCCUCUUUUUUCAUUUCAUGUCAUUUUUUGUGCUAUCCAAAGAAUUAGAUUAACUUAGGGAAAACUAAUGGGUUAACAUUACAGUCUUACUGGACCCACUACUUUUUCUCAGGGUGUCACAAUGAUUUUCAGCCCUCCAUGGUUCAUGAGUAGAGCUUCACAGAAAGGAUAAGGAAAUUUUUUUCCAACAAUAUAUUAUUUUUUUCUAAAGGCUUAUGGGGCAUGAGAAAUGAAAAUAAUUACAAAAGGCUGUAGGUCUUUGAUUCUUUUCUAACAUUGUCUUAUAAUACAUCCUAAUUUUAAUCAAUAUUUUCUUUUCUUUGGUUUUCAACAGCCUGCAUCUUCUUAUUGACACUUUGGUUUUUUUCUUGCAAUCAUUUACUGCAAAGCCUCGAGUAUUCAGGCUGGAGUCUCAUCCAUCUAUGUUAGAUACCUCACUGAGACAUUAUUACCUCAGUGAAGUUUUACAUGUCUUAACCCUGGAAGGGACAAAAGUAGCAAUCUAAUUCCUCAGCUUUGCUGUAUGGGCAGAGGACAGAGAGGCACUUCUGAAGACCUGCAGAAAGUGACAGCUUUCUCUGAGGCACUUAAGAGUGCCUCCUUCUUUCCACCGACUACAAGUGAACUCACAGUGCCAGUGGGCAAAGUCAGCCUACAGCUAGAGCACUGAUAUCCUCUUGGAAACUCAUCUGAAACACUCCUAACACUCUAUCGACAUACGAUCCAGCCUCUCUGUCCCUACUGCAGGACUGACGUUAAUGAGAUCAAAGUGCUUCCACCCACAUUUUGCAUAAAGAUGCAAAAACUUGUAAGAAAGGAAGUGGGUGAUGUUUCUAAACUCUAAUUAAGCCCUGAGCUCCAACUUCCUAGCAGAAUGGCAUAAUCAGCAACCAUCGGGUAGUUUGGAUGGUAGGUGUUGCAGCUGAGAGCCUGCGCAGCCUGGAACACACGAGGCACAGGGCCACAUCAGAGAAGGCAAAAGCAAAUCCAAGGUUGGCCUAGCAGUCCAGAUCCUCUCUGACACAGGGUGGAGACUUACAAGGUUAUGCUUUGUUUUUCUUGUCUCCUGUAUGACACAUCUUUUCCACAUAUAUGAAUUUACUUCCCUUGGGUUUUUUUUCUCUUGAGAUAAGAACUGGAGCCAACAACUCCUCGUAUCCACACACAGUAGGAGAGGUUAAUGCUUUUUGCCCAAGCGUGGUGUAGUAGUUGGGGCAGUCUUGUAAGAUGUCAGUGACACAUCAGUCCCUGUCUAAUGGUAAAAUGUACACUUGCACUCCCGUGCUUAGCUCAAGUCAUGCUCUCAGCCUUAUUGCACCUAUGUCGAAGCUGAUGGCCCAUGUCAGAAAAAGCCAGACAUAAUUCUGACUGCUGCUAAUUUUUCAGACUUCUAAAAGGGAUUUAAAUGCCUGUCUUCCUAAGCUGGAUUGUACUGGGACUUGAGGCAAGAGAUAAGUGCCUAUCUUCCCAGAACAGGAUCUCCUUAACAUGUGUGAAUAUAGUUAAAUGCUUGAGGAGCUUUCAGGUUCAGUAGGGAGUUGCUCACAGUAAUAGGCAGUGCUGGGAAACACUCACUUGGGGUUGCAUGUGGAAUUCAUGUAGGGUUUUUUGCACCUGCAGACAAUUUUGACAGUCUGCCUUUUUUUUUUGACAUAUGUCUUUUUUUUCUCCCUCUGUGACAGGAGGAGUAAUUUUAGGUACCCUUGAACUAGACAUCAUCUUGCCUAAUAUUGGGCACUUGAGCAUAGCAGGACUACAUGGAGCAGCCUUCAUAGUAGCUUGGGGAGGGUCAGUUACUUAGAAGAGGAAAGAAACUUUGCCAAAGGGAGAGGUGUCGGCAAGCUACACAGUAGAAAGUCCCAGGGACUGAGAGCAAGCUCCUCUGCUGUGGGCAAUCAUCUGAUGGGACAUACUUAGGUGUUUUCAGUAAUGCUGGAUAGACAGUAGAUUGUCUAAGACCAGCCUUCUGUGUAACAGAACCAUGGUACAGCAUUUCCUCAUGAAGGGGGAUGGCUUUUGAACCCUCUCAGCCUUUUUCAGAUAUUUCACUUUUCAAGAAAAUGAUCUCACUUGGAAAAAAAUUACCUUUGCCAGUGUGGGUAUAAGGAGGUGACAGCCAGGAACACGCUAAAGAAAAGAAAUCUGAGGGAUUUUUAGCCUAGCAUUUAAGUUAAUGGGAAUGAGGCAACAGUGCUCAAAUCCAUAUUCCCUGAAGAACCUAUGCUUUUUAGACUAGAGAAGAACAGGACAAAAUAUGGACUAAUAAGUGCAGUAGAGUCUUGGAAUAGGGACAAUUUCCCCUAUUCCACAAAAUGCUCAAACCACUCAGCUAUUAUGCAAGAAGCAUAGUGUGCUUAUUGCUCCUGCUGAGUUUUUUUUUUAAACAACCAUCUCUGCAGCAACUGUUGUAUUUGUGCAUCUAAGUAUUCAGUGUAUGUCACACUUUCAGGAUGUAUCUGGUCUGAAAAGCCUGGAGCAUGAGUAGUUUGGUCUGGGUUUGCAUUCACCUUCCCUCAUAUGCCUUUUCCAUAUCAGGUAAGUUCUGAGCAUCCCCCCUGCAGUCAAGACUCAUAGGCCAAAAAGUCAGAAUAAGGUGUGCAGAAAAAAAGCAGUUACAAAAAUAAAAAUAAUUUUUAAAAAAUCUCCAAACAUGUGCUUAUCCACAAAACUUGCAUGGAGACAUAAGUAUAAAGCAGAUGAGGUGCUAACAAAAAUACACAAGCUUUUGUUAAAAACGUCUAUCAUAAAACACUUAAAAAUACAAAACAUAUUUAGAAUUGAGCAGGGGUAUUAACAGGCUUCAAACUGUACAUGGCAACUUGUGCUUGGCUGAAACAAGAACAAGUCAUAUGGAAAUUCUAGAUGUAACCAGUAUUAUUUCAGCAGUGAAAAUCAGUUUUUAUGUAAUUCCUGGAUUUAUUGGAAAAUGUCUCUAAGUAGAUUAACUGAUUGAUUAACAUACAUGAAGUUUCAAAAGCCCUUUGACAAGAUCCUGCACACAAGGGAUGAUAAGCACUCAGGGGAUAAGAACCAGCAUAUUUGUGAAACAGAAAAAUAGAAACACAAUCCCACAGAGAGUGAAACAAAGUGAUUGAUUUUCAUCAGGAAAUCACAGCAAAAUAAGAACAGGGUGUCAUGUUUCCAUUGAACAUCCAACUCUGGCUAAUACAUUCCUUAAUGCCUCAGAUGGGGUAAGGGAAAAGCUGUUGCACCAUAACGGCACCGUGUUAUUUCUGUUAGUCAGGACAGGAGAGCAGCAAGGGAAUUCCAGACAUUUAAACAAGCAAGGUGUUCUGGCAAUAUUUCAACACCAAGAAAGUAAUGCUAUUUAAAAAAAAAAAAAAAAAAGAUUAAUUAUGCCCACUAUAGAAAUGGCUUUGUUGACAGUUCAUUUGUUAAAAAAUAUCUAGUGUCAAUAACUGUCAUGUGAUUAUUUCAGUGUUUGUAUAGGGAUGUCUGCAAGCACCUGUGCAUUCCCUAUGCAACACUGCCCAACCCAUAGCUAAGACAAUUUUGUUCGGGGUCAGCAAAUGUACAGGAAGAUUAUUAUGGUCCAAAGCAAGAGUUUUCCAUGACACUCAGGUCCUCCAUGUGUCUUUGAUCUCUUACUUAGCAAUAUUUUAAGACAAACACAUCUUUCAUCAGAAAUGUGGCUAGCAUCAUUCUAAUAUGAAGGAAAUAAUAAAACAGAAUCACCCCUCAAAAACUGGGCAUUGUGAGUUGAUCUGCACCUGUAUUUUUGUUGCAUCCACUUGCAAGAAUACUUGAGUGCCACAUAAAAUAAUAUUGCACAAAGCAAGAUUUGUGGGGAGAACGUAGCAGACCAGCUUUCAGGUACAUGUAAUCCUGCCCAUCCCCUUAUCCAAACGGAACUAUGACAACACUGCGACUGUUGGUAUUGAAGUUUCAGGAGCAGAGUUCACUGGUCUCAUCUAUGCUGUUUGUGGGCACUUCCCUGAAGACUACGCUCACUGCUGUUGCAGCUGGCCAGUCAGCUUCAGGAAGCAGUGGGAUUGAAUCCUUUGAGGACAUGUGAGCUUUGGUUUUGGGCAUGUCAGCUAUAGAUAAACAGGUGACUCCAUGCCACCAGCAGGGUGUCCUUACACUGAUGAUGGAUAGGUGACCAGAUCAAGGAAGCUGGGAGAUGGAGUUUGAACGUCAAGAUCUUCAGAGUUGGACAGAAAUGGCCAAAGUGGCAAGGACUGUGCCUCAUGGACAUGCAUGUGAGGCUGGGCUGUGACUGAUGUUUUAGACAGCUGGUGGAGGCACCUGCUGCUGCCAGAAGAGGGCAAUUCUUACCUGUUGUGAGCCGGGGAACAGCUUUGUUCCCCAGUCUGUGUGUGUGUGCCUCAUAUCAGUAUGAAGAUACUUUUCCUCGUGUAUUCCUGUUUCAGCAAUUGACUUCUUAGACGGGAUUCUUACACGUUGUCUUUAGGACCCGCUCUGCUUUUGUACUUGCCUCACUGGGGGCAGGUUCUGACCUCAGCACUCUCCAACGUCAGCAUGGGAAGAGCAUCUCUUAUUUUUGCUGUUGUUUCUAAAGACUGGGGUGUUUCCAGCUGCCUGUCUCUAGGACUGUGGCAUAUGAGAGAGCAAAUGCUGUGAUGGGUAAAGAGAUGUGUAGAACAAGCUGAAGGGAAGAUCAGGCCAAAACAUGAUGCAAGGGAAGACAAGCAGGUGACAGAAGAUAGGAGCUGUGAGAAAGACUAGAGGUUGAUUCACUUUGGUUUAACUUCAAACUUUGUUAACUUAAAAAUGGUCUAGGUCACUGCUAACUUAGAUCAUGUCAUGCAGUGGGUAGGAUGAAGAUCUUUCUGGUCUGUAGGGUGAGGAUGUUUGAAAGCAAGUGGAGCUGAAAAGCCUGGUGCAGUAAAAUCGUCCAUCUUGUGGCAGGGGCCAGCUGCCCCUCCCUGACCUCGGGCAGAGGUGUGCUGUGAGGUGGACCACAAACAAGAGGGAUGCAACAGUGACCUGAGCUGGGACGUGUCUGGGGCCCGAUGUUAUGUUUCUCCAUUCUAUAACAAAUAUACUGGGGGAUUAUUGAUUGUAGGAAAUGGUCUGACAGUUCCUUAAGCCCAUUUUACCCUUCUUUUUAUCCCAUUGCUCUGGCACAGAUGCUUUGCACUACUCUUUGUGAAUGGGUACUGUCUCCUUAAUCUCCCGAGACACUUAUUUCUGCUGCAGCUUCUUUGUCUAACCCCCUCAGCAAUCUCUGCACUGUUACUUCUGCUUGUCCUGGGACAGCCAAUGAUCUCUCCCAUUUUUCCCAAUUCCAUCUCACUUUACUUUCUAAUCACCCAGACAAACCUGUCUCUCUGUCUGCCUACAAUCACUGGAUUCUCUGUUCUCUUGAUCACACCUGCCUGUCAGUUGUCCAAAAAGAUUACGUAUGCCUUGAAAUUUCCACUUACUUUAAUAAAUGAAUGAUUGCAAUGUUAUAUAACUUGUUUAUGUUCAGCUUGUGCACUACUGGUUUGCGCUUUGGCUAUUCUAUAGCAUUACAUUAAUUUACCAAGCACAAAGGAAAAGCUCACAUGGCCAAGACAUUAACAGACUCAACAUUUUAAAUUUAAAGGGAAAAGUUGAACAAAAGAAUAAGUAGGUCCUGCUGUUCUUGAGGACAAAUUCACAUAUGACAUAGACAAGGUAAGAGGAGACAUCUGAUGUCUGAGGAGACAUUUGUCAUUCCUUGUCCAUGGGAUGAUCCAAGUCUCUGUAAACACUGAGCUUUAUUUUUCAUUCUUCAUCUCAUUUUUGUCAGUGAGCAAAUCAUAGUGUGAUCAAUGCCGAAUUGCCUUAAGAACAACUACAGAGAAGAUUCAGCAGGGUUCACACCUUACACUUUCUCUAAUACUUGUCUGUGAGGAAGUGCAAAAUGUUCCAGAAUUGUAGUUUGACCCCCUAGAAUGUAUGCCCUAGAAAUUAUCACAGAAAAUUCAUUCUGCUUAUAAAAAUAAUUUAAAGGCUGGAAAAAGCCAAGGGCUCAUCCUGGCAGCUGUUAAGAGCACACUUCUAGUUUUGACUGAUCACUGGAACAGGCUCUCUAGGGAAGUGGUCAUGGCACCAAGCCGCCAGAGUUCAGGGAGCAUUUGGACAACGCUCUUAGUCAUAUGGUUUAUUUUUGGGCAGUCCUGCGAGGAGCAGGAAGUUAGAAGCAAUAACCUUUUCAGGCCCUUCCAACUUGAAAUAUUCUAUGAUUCUAUGUCAGAUUCCAAUUUUACAUAUGAUAUUAGUCUUCAUAUUUUUCAGAUGUCAUAAACUAUUUUGAUUAUACAUAAUCCAUUACUUAUGGUAAUUUAAUUUUCAAGUCUAUUAAGACAGCAGUUUAAUUCAACAUCAUCAUCCCAAUCUGCUGAGACAGUAAAGAAUGAAACACCAGCCAUUUUUUAAAAUCUCUGACUAGAUAAUCUCAAAUAUGUAACAAAGUGGGUAUUUCUCAGUCCUCUGGCUUCCCUGAGAGCUGAAAUUUCUCAAGCCUGAUAGAUGAAAUUCAGAUUCCCAUGAGGUGCAGUGGUUAGAAAUGAUGCAUUUCAGAUUCUGGAUUAGUCUUGGCUUCGUAUUGCUUUCUAAUCUGCUGCUGCUGUUUCAGUAAUAUCAGCCAUUUACAUUCAAUAUUUAAUGACAAUAAGCCUAACCUCAAGGACUCAGCUAUUGCUGCUUGUAUAUAUGUUAAAUUUAUAGUGUUUGAGUUAGGGAGUUUGUUUGUGUGUGUGCACGUCUAAGAGCAUGUGUUUAAGUACCAGCAUUCUAGUAUAAAAUGGCAUAGGUAUUUUACAUACAUAAGAAGCUUUUAAAACAGUUUUAUAACGAGUAUUUUUCAUCAAGUAAAAGGCCUUAAUCCAAACCAACCAACAAUUCAAGAGAUGAGUUGCAAUCUUUAAACCUACUUCUUAAAGCUAGGCUAUUUGUUAUCUAGAAACUUGCAAAAAUACCAUCACACAGUCAGACCUGUCACUCUAAAUGUUAAUUGAUAAGUUUAGAGUAAGCUGCUUUAGCAAUACAGAACAUUUUAUUCCAUAAUCCCAGCUAGAAGAUGUAUUCCUACCUCUUGACAUCACUUCAAAGCAGAUUAAUAUAAAGUCUAGAUUACUAAAGUGAGUUUAGACAACUUCACCAGUAAAAAGUAUAUACAUAUACACUGUAAAUGUAUAUGCAUAUUUAUGUGUACAGAGAGUAAAAUAAAAUUUUGAAAUUUUAUUAAGCAUGUGGAAGGGGAAUGGCAUUUCCUGCACCCAGGAGUGAAUAGAGAAGUGUUUAAAGGCAUUGGUUUAUGCUGUUAUUUCUUUCCACAAGAAAGCAGGGAUCUUUUUGUAUACAAAUCACAUUACUGCAUUGUUACUACUUUGAAUAGAGGAAUUAUAUUGGUUAUAACACUCACUAGCUACAAAAACUAGAGAUGGAGAACAAAUUCUCCUGGUAGCCACAUAUUCAAUUGCAAGCCCUAGCAAACAAGUUUUUAUCCAUCAAAAGUAUAAAUCCAGAAGCCUUUACUACUGUUUCAGAUUAAAGAAGAAUAAGCAACCAAAACCGUACAUUACCUACAGGAUGAGUAGCUUUAUGCUCACAGUUUCACUCGCUGGGUUUCUCAUUGCAAAACAAGGGGGUUUCCUGCAACUUGCAUGUUGGGUCUUGCACCCAUUUUACUUCUGGCCAGCCUGCCUUUUAUUGGGGAUUUGCUUCUUAAUUAUGAGACUAUUAACUACCAAUUCACUAUGCUUAAGUUGGUUUUUUUCUCAAGGAGAAACCAAGAUAAAAACUGUAUUUCAUAUCUGGCUUCCCUUGGUUUAUGUUUGUCACGAUAUCAAUUACACCCUUGUUUUGCAUUGUCUUGCAACCGUUUACAGUAUGUCAUUAAUAGCAAUCAAGGAUCUGAUUCUGUCUUUCUUGCUGUUGUUGAAUUAAUAGGGAGAGUAUGAAGUGAAAGAGAACUUUACUGCUUCAUCAAAACACAGUUUGUUUACAGAAAGGUGCACAAAUUUGCCUGUAACCAGACCCAAAGAAAUGGCCUUUUUUUUUACCUGCAGGUUUAACUUUUUUCUCUAUUUAAUUAUUAACUCUUCCUGCUACUAAUCAAAAAGUUAGUUUAAAUCAUGAUGUUAUGAAAAAAAAUUUUGCUCAGCUUCAGAAAGGCAUGUGGAAGAAUGCAUGAUCUGUAGUUCAGGGAGAGGAUCUGGAACUGAAGAGCCACACUGGGUGAGAUGGAAAAUCAGCACAGAUUUGUAUAUAUCUGUUACAGCAACCAGGAUCGGGUAUCUCAGAGAGAAGUUUAAAAUCUUUUCAGCAAACAACCUCCUACAUGGUAAUCUCUACUUUCCUUCUCCACUUAUUAUACUGCUACUUAGUAAUGGUUGUUGUGCUAAGAUUCUGAAGAUUUUAUAUCCUUUUUUUUGUCCUGUUGCCAUUAAUUGUCUCGUUAUAUAUUUUUGAUAUGUAGACAAGACUCCAAAUUAUUUUUUAACUUUAUUGUCUCUUCUAGCUGUGCUGCAUUUUAUUUAUAUGAUUAUAUAUGUCAUGUCACAAAAUAUUUUAAUAUUUUAUAAUUUACCACCUUUUGAUUUCAUUGCAUAGCCCUUUACUUUUGUACAAGGCAGGAAAGAAAAAAAUCCCAGUCUAUCUUUAAACAACUUAUUUUACAUACUGCUUUUUUGUGUUACUCAUUUCCUGUGUACUGUAAAAGGUCUUUUAUGUCUCUUCAGAGGGAAUUCACAAUACAACGCAAUCUGUCAACUUUUAUUUAGACACCCCUGUUCAAACUGUACAAUGGAGUGUAUUAUUGUAACUGAGACUAAUACACAGAAAGAGGUAUUGAUAUAAAGAGUAUUUAAUAUAUUUAUAGUGCAAAACUGCAAGUGUAAACUGGGCAGAGACUAACGUAUGAGUAAUAAGUGAACCACCGACAAGGGAUGUUCUUGUUAAGGCCUGCACAGUAUCAGCUAGUCAUACCAGACUGCUGUCUACCCUAUUUUGAAUUGCAAGGUCAUGUGAAAAUACAGAUGACAACUGCUCUAGAUGUUUUCCUAAAAUUCUGCUCCUAGGCUCUCUUGGCUGUCUCCAGCACUGGUGCACCUCAUUAUAGCCAUGCAGCCCUGGCGUUAGAGGGUGAAAUCUCUUCACGUGGUGAGAGUAAUGAGAUCGGUGCCGCCGAUGGAGACGAGCCAGGAUAUCUAAUGCUGCAAAAUGCCUUUGAGAGCAUCUGCCCUCUCAUCAGCACACACAACUGCUCUCCAUCUGUGCCAUUCUCUGUACUCCAGGACUGCAUCACCCCUUCACCAAUUAGGCCAUUAUGCUGCUAAGGACAAUUUAUCUUUGAUGGGAUCUAUACAUAAUGAGGUUUCUCAUGCUUCCCUGAAGCUACAUUUGGAUUAUCACAACCUUCAAAAACUUGAAGAUGAUCCUAAGAAAAUUGAAAAGAUGGAACCAGAGUUUUCACAGAGAUCCACUGACUCCAGUAAACCUCUACAGAGCCCCAGGAUCUCCCUCAUCACAGUGGCAACAACAUGCUCCCUGAAUUUUUUUGAUGGAAACCAUCACAUGCAUUCAGCAUGACAAAAGACUGAAAGUGAAAAAUUUCUAUCCAGCUUCUAAAAUGUCAAGUAAAAUAUCAGGUAGCACUGUAAUAAAAAAGGAAAACCUAACAUAAAACAGUAGUACUCUGAUUAGCAUGUUGCUUUCUAAUGAAUGUCACACAUUGAGCAAAACCACUGGGCUUCAGAAAUAAUGAAGUAGUGACUGGAUGAAAAAAAAUCACUGCAGUUCACCAGUAACUCCCAGAAAAGCUCCUUUAGGAAGUGAAUCUUUGGAUACUUCUGUAAUUGGACACAUGUUAGGAUCAAAUUCUCUCAUCAAAGGGUAGAUAUUAAGAUCUCACUAGAGUCAAUGAGACCUUUAUGGAUCUAAGAAGAAAAGUUGGCAUUCAUUGGUGUUCCUCUAGGGAGAAGAGAGAGUUAAAAAAAAAAAAAAAAUUAAUUAAUGUUGUUCAGCUGAUGGAGAAUGACAGACCUUUUAGAGAUGGUGAUCAAAGGUAAUUAAAUUAGGUGACAGAGACCUCUCUUGUUGCCACUCAAAAUGGAAGAUCCAAGGAAGAGUGGUCAUCCUAAAAAGUAAUUAUUUAUGAAUCCCACAAAAUAAAUCCAGUGGAAUACACCCCUGAAAAUUAUCGGACAUGAACCUAAAUUAAACUCUGCACAGCAAAAUAUGUCUUGCAAAUGGGGAAAGUGAAGUUUGCAAAAUACAUCCUUGAUUUUUUAAUCAAUUAUUAUUACCACCCUGUAACCCAAGGGAAGUCUGCUAUGGAUCAGGGAAACACAAGAUCAAGGAUGCUUCUAGCCAAAGGAAUCUGCAGUCAAAGCAGACCACUCAUGAGAUGUGAAAUAAACUAUGCCUUGCAAUUUUUUUUCAGCCAUCUCACUGCAAAUGUUCCUAACUCCAAACACCUGCCACCUUUUACACAGUCCUCCAGUAAGCUGUUUGUCAAUGUUAGUACAAGUCUUUACUGUACCAAAACCAAUCUUCUCUUUUUCAAUACAGUGCUUUGAGAGACACAAUGUAUAAUGUUUUAUUGCACUCUAGACAUUUUACAAUGUCUAGUAAUUUUACUUCUUUUUCCCUCAGAAAAUGUGGCAUUAUCCAAUAUGAUUUUAUCUUUGUAAAUUCAUAUGUGCUGCUCCUCAUUUGCUCAUACUUCAGAUAUUCAAAGACAUCCUUUUCUACCAUUUGUAUCAGUAAUUAACCAUAGCUAAACAGGCAAUGCACUGAAUGGCAACGGUGGGAUUCCUUGCUCCAAUAUUUUAAAGAAUUGCAUCCUUUCUCCCCUACACAUUUAUUGUCUAUUUACAGAUGUAUUGUCUCUUUAGCUACCUACACAGGUGUUUUUCUUCAGCUGUUUCUCAACUGGUUACAAAUUUCCAAAAUUCAUUAUAGAGGAUCAGAUCAUUAUUCUGACCUAAGGAUCAUGUGCAGGCCUUUUUUACAUAAUUUUUAAAGAACUGAUAGAAUUUGUAUGCAGUUCUGUUGCUACAUGUUUAUCUCACUUUUUGACAGACUCUGUAACCAUCCCCUUUGAAUUCUCAAUAAUUUGGUGUUUAUUGCUAUCCUUUUACUGUCCAAAAUAUUUCAGUGGCUAUUUUCAAUGGCAACAAAUGAGUUGUCAUAAACAAGUAUGGAAAUAAAAGUCAAACAUCCU